CGCAAUGGCGAAAGCCUGACGCAGCAAUACCGCGUGAGUGAUGAAGGCUCUUGGGUCGUAAAGCUCUGUCAGAGGGGAAGAACAUCMUAACGUAUAAUACACGUUAGGCUUGACGGUACCCUCAGAGGAAGCACCGGCUAACUCCGUGCCAGCAGCCGCGGUAAUACGGAGGGUGCAAACGUUGUUCGGAAUUAUUGGGCGUAAAGAGCAUGUAGGCGGUCUGUCAAGUCUGAUGUGAAAGCCCGGGGCUCAACCCCGGAAGUGCAUUGGAAACUGGCAGACUUGAGUACGGGAGAGGAAAGUGGAAUUUCGAGUGUAGGGGUGAAAUCCGUAGAUAUUCGRAGGAACACCAGUGGCGAAGGCGGCUUUCUGGACCGAUACUGACGCUGAGAUGCGAAAGCGUGGGGAGCAAACAGGAUUAGAUACCCUGGUAGUCCACGCCGUAAACGAUGGGUACUAGGUGUUG
rnacentral:rRNA from 1 species